GGCUAUUUUGCAUGAACUUUCGUCUCUAAUUUAUGUUUGGAUUGGUAGCUUAUUCUUACAAAGUUACGAAGAAAUCUGAGAGGUAUUCAUGAAUGAAAGAGGGUUGAAGAUAAAACUAACCACACGUUUCUAUUUGAGAAGAAGGUUCUCUCUUCUUAUUAUAAAUACUAGAAAACAACUCUGUGCAUUCGGACGGGCAAUCAAAUAAUUUACUAAAACUAAAAUUAUUUAAUAUUAAUGGAAUAUAUAUAUUUAAUAAUUAUAAUUGUUUUAUUUAAUAAUUUUUAUUUUUGUUUCAUUUAAGUAAUAAGUACAUGGGUUAAAAUAACAAUAUUUAAUAUAUAACUUAACAAAUUAUUUAUAUGUGUACUUUAAGUUAUCCUUUUCUUGUACACAUAUAAAGAUGCGAUGUUUUUGGCCUUCUGUUCUUUUGACUUUUUUUUGGAUCUACUGGUUUGAAUUCUCUUAUUUUCCUGUGAUAUCUGCAGGUUGAAGUGGAAAGAAUCAAAAUUGAGAAGCGAGAGAACUCAGGCUAGCAGUAGUCUUUAUUAAUUAGAGAUGGCAAGAGGAACUAGACUUCCAUAUUAGAAUCAAACAGGUUGUUUCUCUUCUUGGGUUGUCUUGAUAGUAAUGAAGCAGAUGAGUGAAGAGGGUAAAAAUUCAAGAUGAUUAUUUGUUGGAGACAUUUUGGUGUAGCAAUGAAAACUUAUUUUAAUAUAGCAAUGAGUACAUGAAGCUCUUUACGGUUGCUUUCUUCAUCUUUUAAAUUUGAGUUUUAUAAAAUUUGAGUUUCUACUUUGAAUUGUUUGGAAGUUUAUUCAAAUUUGAGUUGCUACUUUGAGUUUUAUUAGAAGCUAUAGUUGUAGUUAAAUUUUAAUGCAAAUUUAAAUAUAAA